rnacentral:lncRNA from 1 species
UAGCAAGUGAGGUGGAAGCAGUAACAAUAAAAAUGCAGCAAAAGCAGAAGCAGAGGAUAAGCAGAAGGUACAGGAAGGCCUAAAAAUGGGGACCACACAUGAGGUUCGACAUGGCUGUCAAUUUUAUGGCAUUUUUGUGUGGAUCGGGUAUGUUAGGAGGGACCAUCUUAACGGUAUAUCAUAUCUGUGUAGUAUGUAUAUUUAUGUAUGAUUUUUAAAUAAAUUAUUUUAUGAAACUAUGGUUGCGAUUUACUUUAUCUUGGUAAAAAAAAAAUUAAUAAAUCAAUUAAUAUAUCUGUUGGAGAUUAAACCUGUAACACACCCCUCCUUCCUGAAAAGGAAGUUUACCUGAAACUUGCAAUGGAAAUUCAAUCCCUAAUAAAGAAAAACUAAUCUAACUAAAUAACUAAUAAAAGAAAUCCUAACUUGAAAAUACUUAAUAUAAUACAACAUUAUAAGAACCCUCAAAAUAACUACAAAGAAACGAAUCUAUUAUAAUAAUUAAUUUACGCUGACUUAUAACUUAGAUACUAACAUUAGAUUUGCUCUUGAACGUUAUUAUCAGGUGGAUGUGCCUUUAAAUCUUUAGCAUGCCAAACUCCACGACAACGGCCUGUCAAGUCCGAAACUUCGUAGGACCAUGGAGAGAGAAUUUUGCUGAUCUUGUAGGGCCCAAGAUAUUUAGGCGCGAACUUUGAAGUAAAGUUUUUGGCAGCAUUAGAGAUAACAUAAUUUCUCUGCCAUACCUCCUGACCAAGUUGAAAACGCUCAUCGCGAUGCCGUAAGUUAUAACGCCUACUACGUUGCUCGCAAGCCCUCUUCAGUCUUUUCUGAACAUCGACAAAUACCUUUUCCAAUGUUUUCGAUCGCAAAGUUGGAUCGGAAUCAUUAGGGUUAGAUGGAGAAAUUAAAGUCGGGGUGGGACACAGAAAUCGAAGUUCUCUACCAAAAAUUACAAAGUUUGGGGUUAGACCCGUAACUUCGUGUCUUGCUGAUCGGAUUGCACAACCUGCCUUAGCCAAAAUUAGAUCCCACGUCCUAUGAUCCUCAUCAACAUAGCUUGAGAUGAUGGUUUUUAGAACACGGUGGACACGCUCUACAGGGUUAGCCUGCGGGUGGUAAUUAGCAGUAUAACGUAUUUGGAUACCAUACUCUUGCAUUUUAUUUUGGAAAGCUCCACUACGAAACUGAGGUCCAUUGUCGGCAAUGAUUCUAUCAGGGAUUCCGUAAACCAAAAGUACAUGGUCCUCGAGCCAUUUUAAUAUACUGCUGGCGGUAGCCACUCGUAAAGGAAAGAAGAGAGGAUACUUACUGAACAAAUCAUAUACUGACAAUACGAAGGAAUAUCCAGAACGAGAACGAGGCAAGGGACCCACAAGGUCUACACUGAGUAUUUGCCAAGGUCUAGUCAGGGUUGGUUGUGGACUAAGAAGGUGGCCAGAAGAGACUUUUUGAAGAGGUUUAGUCCUUAAGCAAGUGUGACAUCGGGCAAUAUACCUAGCUACGUCACACUUCAUAUUCGGCCAGUAAUAUUUCUGUGAAAUACGGGAAAGAGUCUUAAACACUCCAAGAUGACCACAGGUGGGAGGAUCGUGAUGUGCCUUUAUGACAUCAGAUCGUUGAUUUCGUGGUACAAUCUGCAACCAAGCAUCGUCAGGAUUAUCUAAAGCGGGGUAUUUUGACUUAGUGCGCUUAUAGAGCUUAUUAUUAGAAAUCCACCAUAGUGGGUACUUAGAUGGUUGCUCUUUAACGCGUUUUAGCAUGCGGGAAUACCACUUGUCGAUCAGGAAAGAAGAAUCGUUCGUUGACAUGUCAUUCAGAGGUGCUACCUCAUCUACCACUGGUACCGAACGAGAUAAUGCAUCGGGGACGAUGUUGUCUUUACCCUUACGAUGAACUAUGUCAAAAUCGUACUGUUGUAGCCUUACAGCCCAUCGAGCAAUGCGACCAACAGGAUCUUUGAUUGAAUUAAGCCACUUCAGACUGUAGUGGUCAGUUACCACUGUAAAAUGGCUACCUUCCACAUAUGGUCUCAGUUUUUCGAUGGCGAAAAUGACAGCCAAACAUUCCUUUUCUGUUGUGCUAUACCGACGCUCGUUUUUGGUAAGAGACCUACUUAGGAAACAAAUAGCGUGCUCUUCGUCACCUUGAACCUGAUAAAGGACAGCUCCAAGUCCAAAAUCGGAAGCGUCACAUUGGAUAAUAAAAGGAAGAUCAAAAUCUGGACAUGAUAAAACCGGUGCGCUGACCAGUUUCUCUUUAAUAGUAUUAAAAGCAUUUUCACAUUCAGGACUCCAUACAAACUUUACGUUCUUCAUGGUCAAUGAGGUCAAGGGAGAUACUAUCGUGGAAAAAUUAGGGACAAACCUCCGAUACCAAGAUGCGAGUCCAACAAUUCUUCUAAUAUCAGUAACAGUCUUGGGGGUUGGGAUACGCAGAAUAGCUUCAAUCUUAUCGGGGUCCACCAGUAGACCGGAAGAAUUAACAAUGUACCCCAAAUAUUUUAACUCGGGUUUACAAAAGGUACACUUCUCUCUGUUAAGAGUUAGACCUGCCUUAACGAUCCUCUGUAUGACCUCACGUAAAACACGAAUAUGUUCCUCGAACGACGGGGUGGAAAUGAUUACGUCGUCAAGAUAGACGAAGACGUAUGGCUCCAAGUCAACACCAAUAACAGAAUCGAUCAGUCUUUGCCACACUGCAGGGGCAUUAGUCAACCCAAAAGGCAUACGGGUAAAUUGGAAAAGUCCUCUAGUAGGGACUGUAAAUGCAGUAAGAGGGCGAGAUUCUGGUGCAAUAGGUAUUUGCCAAUACGCGGACUUAAUAUCCAACGUACUAAGGAACUUGGCAUCUCUUAAUUUAUCUAAAGUGGCAGAAACAAAAGGUAUGGGAUAACUGUCUUUGAUGGUUACACGAUUUAAAGCGCGAUAAUCGACACAAAAACGCCAUUCGCCAGUUUUUUUCUUAACCAUUACUAUUGGAGAUGACCAGGGUGAAAUAGAUGGUUCCACAAUACCAUUGGCAAUCAUUUGUUCCAAUUCAGUAUUGACAUCCUUUUGAAGGGCACGGGAAAGAGGAUAAUAGCGCUGUUUGAUAGGUGCUGAAUUUGUCCUGAUUUCUAGCUUGACCAAAUUAGUACAACCCAAUGUUGAACUCAUGUUGGAAAAGACAUCCUCGAUAAGUCGAUCGAGAGUUCCUUUUUGUGUUGGAGUCAGAGUAUCAACGGAUUGAAUUGCGGCAGUUUCGUGACAGUAGUAUGGAGCAACAUCUUUGAAAUGCCAUUCCCCAGUGUUAAGGUCAGGUAUGAUCCCCAUACGAGUCCAAAAAUCAAUACCUAAGAUCAAGGAAUGGGGUAGGGAGGGAACAACCAAAACAUCCAUAAGGACUACGCGAGUGCGAAGCCUCAUAGGUAAGGUCACAAUUCCUUUUAUUGAACAUUGUUGUCCAUUGGCUACAGUGCACUCAGUGGCCCCAGAUUGUUUAAGGUUGCAAUAAGUAGACAAAACAGACCAUCCGGCAGAACCAAUAAUAGUUCGAGAUGCUCCACUAUCAAGUAAACCUAAUAGUGAUUUUCCAAAAAUGUCUAUGUGCAGAUAAGGACGCUCAUCACCUUUGGCAUGUGCCAAGACGAAAUCAAGGACGGCGGAAGUACGAACAUGUUUGGAUAGACUAAUAGCCGAUUGCGAUUCAAAAGAUAGGCAAGAGGGACGGCCUAUGCUCUUGCCGAUGCCUCGUUUUUUGAGCAUGUUGGACAAGUCUUUGCACUAACGUCUCUCUUUCCGCAUCGGAAACAAAAGAACGUUUUGGGCUUAGAACAUUUACGAAAACGAUGUCCGCUGUCACCGCAAUUCCAGCAGGUUACAACAGAAGAAACUGCAUCUAUAGAAGUUGAAAAAGCCGAAUGAUUAUUAGGAAUAAUUGGCUUAACAUCACUAGGUUCUGAAUAAGACUCAAUUGACGCUACGUGAUGACUGGGUUUUCUGUAGGCAAGUUCAGGUUCUAAUAGCUGUCUAAUGUUUGUGGGGGGUGGGACAAAUCUCUGCACUCUGGCUUCGGUCUCUUCAAUUGCUCGACUUAACCUAGUCAACUCGUGAAGAUCAUGGAUUUCAUGGGUAGCAAGCCUACUUUGAAUAUAAGGAAGUAAAUUUCGACGAAUAAGGUUAAGUUUGACUGAUUCGGAGGGACUUUCUGAAAGUUUUCGAAACAGACUCUCCAUUGCGACAAUAAACGUAAGGACGCGUUCUUGUGAUCCUUGGGUGCGCCUACGUAUUUCAUCCCACAAACCAUAUUCAUAGUCAUAAGGCCGAAAGGAAUCUUUCAAUUUAGUUACUAAAUCAUCCCAACUGGCAAAUUUAUUGGUACGAUACCAAAGAAGGGCAUCGCCAGUAAACAACUCUGGUGCAGACCGGAGUAACUGCUCCUUAAGUACACCUCGAGAUAAACGUAUUUCCUCAACUCUCUCUAGAAAGUCGUUAACACUAGUCUGUCCAUUAAACUUAAUAUUCCAUCGAAACACAUCAUGUGUAUGGUAUGAGGGAUGCGAUAGUUGUCUCGGCUCACGCCCGUAAGUUCGAUUCGAUGUGUCCGUCGGAGAAAAAUUUACUUCUUCCAAAUGACGAACUAAGUCGUUGAUUGGUAUGGACUGGGACAAGUUGUCUCCAUGAGCAGUGGAGUUUGCUGGAGGAGAUGCAUGAACCACGGGGGGUCCAAAACGAACCUGUGAUUGACGACUCAUUGAUUGAGACUCAUUUGCUGAACUCACUGGAUAACAGUUAAUUUGACUUACAGGAGGUUGUGAUAUAGGAUUCGAAGAUAUUGAGAACUUUGCAUUAAGUUCAUUUCCGGAAGACUGAAAGACUCUGGAUCCGUCGCGCUGCAUGAAACGACCAUAGGAAGGUCUUGACUCAGAUGUACUUGACGUUCUCUGCUGAGGAUUAAAAUAAGGACAACUGCUUUGAGCAAGCUCCAAUAAAUCCUGGAGUGGAAGUCUAGACUGUUGU